rnacentral:miRNA from 12 species
AGUAACAAACAUAUAUGUGUACAUAUAUAUGUGUGUGUGUGUGUGUGUGUGUGUGUGUGUAUAAAUAUAUAUAUAUAUGUAAUUAAUCUUGUGUUCAGCACAAAUCC